CCUACGGGAGGCAGCAGUAGGGAAUCUUCCACAAUGGGCGAAAGCCUGAUGGAGCAACGCCGCGUGGGUGAAGAAGGUCUUCGGAUCGUAAAACCCUGUUGUUAGAGAAGAAAGUGCGUGAGAGUAACUGUUCACGUUUCGACGGUAUCUAACCAGAAAGCCACGGCUAACUACGUACCAGCAGCCGCGGUAAUACGUAGGUGGCAAGCGUUAUCCGGAUUUAUUGGGCGUAAAGGGAACGCAGGCGGUCUUUUAAGUCUGAUGUGAAAGCCUUCGGCUUAACCGGAGUAGUGCAUUGGAAACUGGGAGACUUGAGUGCAGAAGAGGAGAGUGGAACUCCAUGUGUAGCGGUGUAAUGCGUAGAUAUAUGGAAGAACACCAGUGGCGAAAGCGGCUCUCUGGGCUGUAACUGACGCUGAGGUUCGAAAGCGUGGGUAGCAAACAGGAUUAGAUACCCCAGUAGUC
rnacentral:rRNA from 1 species